CUCAGAAUCUGGAACAACUUCAGCUGAGUUUGAUUUUCUCCAACCAUAUUCUUCCCAAUAAACCUGGAAAAAUUUAUUUUGGGAACAGUUUGACCUGUAGAGGAUGCAAGCAUCACAGCCUGGUAUAAUGGAGAUUGUUGUCUCAUCAGGAAUUGUGAACAUUCCCGGCAAAAUGAAAGCUACUCAUGUAUGUCAAGUACCUGAAAGAUAAAACCCUUGGUGACUGGCCUCUCAUUGCUACUGAAGAAAUGGGGGAAAGCAUAGCCAAGAGCUGAACAAUAGCUUAAACCUUUGCUGUGAACAACUAGAGAGAUUGAAAAGAGGGAAGCCAAUUUGCCCCUCUUCACCCAGCCAUGACAUCAUGUGGAAAUAAAGAGUAAAAUGACAAAAUGGGAGAGGCUUGCUUGAAAGUAAUUUAGCAUCACAGAAGAAUUCUACUUAGGUUGCUAUCAGAAUGUAGUGUAUCCUCCAACUCAAUUUUAUGAAUAGGAAAUGCUUUUAUUUGAUUUAAUGUAUAAGCCAGUAUUUACAAAGCAAUGGGGAAAGAGCAUUUUAAUGGGAUUAAUGGUAUUGUUCUUAAAAGUAAGCCCCAUCACUUCGCCUGAUGCUAUCAUCAUAUGCUGUAUGACUUCAUGAUUCUAUGAGACCAAUGUCUUGUAGUUUUCCUUGUAAACUAAAGAGAUCAAAUAAUUGGGCUGAGACUAUAUCAGAGCAUUGGUGCCAUUUGUAGAACUACAGAAUCAUCCCCAAUUAUUCAGUAUCAUGAAAUCACUCCAUGCUGCAUUUAUCACUGUCUAAAAUAUUGCAAUAUUGCAUUAGUCUUAGUGCUUGUGCUGGUACUGCAUCGUUCUAUUUGUUGAAGCUAAAAUACCCCAGUAGUGCACAGUUUUCAUGCUUGAACUUUACAACAUGUACUAUAUGACUUGUGUGCUUUAAUUAUUGUAUGUGUCUAUCCUGCAGCAUCUUAAUGCUUGUAUUAUAGACUAGCUGUAUUGUAUGAUUUAGGUGCUUAUAUUAUAUUAUAUUAUAUUAUAUCCAGAC